rnacentral:tRNA from 1 species
AGAUGGUUGGCCGAGUGGUCUAAGGCGCCAGAUUUAGGCUCUGGUCCGAAAGGGCGUGGGUUCAAAUCCCACAAUGUUUA